UUAUAUACAAAAAAAUUCUAAAUACCUACAAAAAAUAAAAACAAUUAAAUGUUUCUAGUUUUUUUUGAAUAUUUUUAUAAUAAAAAUAAAUUCAUUAAAAUAAAUUUUAUUUAUAUUUUUUUUUUUUUUGAAUAUAUAGAUAAAAUUUAUUCGAUUAUAUCAACAAAAAAACUUUUGCCUGCCAUAUCAUACAUUAAAAUGUUCUACAUGAUUUAUAUAGGUAGUUAAAAAAUAAUUUUUAAUUUUUUUGAAAGUUGCAACAUGGUUUUUGAUUUGUUCCAAAAUGUCAAAAUCUAAACACGAAUAUUCCAUUAGUGAUAUCUUAUCACACAAAAAAAAUUGUGGUACAAUAAUUGUUAGACAACAACUAAGUUUUUUUUUCUUAUUUCAACAAACUAGCAGAUAACAGGCUUGAGCUUAUUGUUAUCAUAUUCCACUAUAACUGAGCCAAAUACUCUAUUCAGAUGUUAGCCAAUGUCCAAUAAAAACUAAUCAUUGUGAUUAAAGUAUUGAUACGAUUUUAUUUUCGUAAAAAAAAAAGAUAAUUGUUCAAUUUUAAAUAUUGAGAAUUUUUUCUUAUCAAUUUUAAAUUGAAAAUCAAGUUUAAAUUGUAACAAAAAAAAAUAAAAGAAAUCGAUCUAUCAGUAAUAAACUUAUUGUUUAUUUAGUGAUAUGACUUUUGGCAUUCAAAAAUUUCUUAUCAAAUUUAAUUUUAAAAUAAAAUUCUUCUUGAUGUAUAAAGAUUUUGAAAAAUUUUGUUGGGCACCACUUUUUGAAUGUUUUUUUUUUUAAUUAAAGCAUUUUUCUUAGAAAAGAAUUUCAUCUGUCAUUUAUUUUUUUUGAUAUUAAACUUUUUUAAUCAUGAUAUUUGAAAAGUUUGUUGGGCGCCACUUUGCAAAACACGACCUUGUUGUAAACAAAUUUGCAAUUUUAUGAAAAUUGAUGUCAUUUGCCAAAAAAGAAACAUUUCUUAGUUCAAAUCAACUUCCUUUCUAGUUUGUGUCUGAAAAAAAAACUUUGUUGGGCGCCACUUUUUAUCAUCAUUAGUCUAUUAUCAAGGAACAAAUAAAAAAAAUUAUGGUCAAGAUAAAUUCGUAAUAAAAUCCUCUCUAGAAAUAUAAAAAAUAUUUCAUUUUAUGUAGAUUUGAAUUUUGUUUUCUAAAAAAAAUCCUACUAACGCAUGUUUUCAACAUACUCAUUUUCAUUUUAACAUCGCAAAUAUAUGUAUGUAAAUUGAGCUCCAAGUGUACAGCACUUUUAACAAAAAAAAAUACUCCUGCAAAAUGAUCCUGCCCACACUGAUAAACGCACUUGAAUAAAAGAAAGCGUUUCCAAACCUGAGAUUUUAGAGAAAUAAAUUUAUUGACAGUCAAAUAGAAGUGUUGCAUCUUUCAAAAUAUAU